AGCACAUUGACUGAGUAAUCAAAUGUACUGCACACAAUGCAGAUAGUGAUUUCAGCUCUUAUAUAUUUAUAAUAUGAUAUUGAGCUGAAACUGAAAUUUUGAUUUCUUUAAAUCGCAAUAAUAAAUCAGCGGAUAGAAAGAAAUACAGAGAAUCACCCUAUAGGACUACCAAGCCUUUUUUUCAUAGGUUUAAACAAAAAAAGGGUUACGAGAACACCUCACCAGUAUGAGGAAGAUGUGGACAGUUGCACUGAUACUUCUAUCAGUAUCGACAGUUCGUACACAAAAUGUGACAAGUAAUAGUACCACUACAAGUGACACGGCUACGACCCCGAUGACAACCGCAACAUCGACCACAACUGACACAACAACCACUCCAACGACAACCGCAACGUCGACCACAAAUGAAACACCUACAAC